rnacentral:rRNA from 1 species
AUUGAACGCUGGCGGCAUGCUUUACACAUGCAAGUCGAACGGUAACAGGUUAAGCUGACGAGUGGCGAACGGGUGAGUAAUGCAUCGGAACGUGCCCGAUCGUGGGGGAUAACGCAGCGAAAGCUGCGCUAAUACCGCAUACGAUCUAUGGAUGAAAGCGGGGGAUCGCAAGACCUCGCGCGAUUGGAGCGGCCGAUAUCAGAUUAGGUAGUUGGUGGGGUAAAGGCUCACCAAGCCGACGAUCUGUAGCUGGUCUGAGAGGACGACCAGCCACACUGGGACUGAGACACGGACCAGACUCCUACGGGAGGCAGCAGUGGGGAAUUUUGGACAAUGGGCGAAAGCCUGAUCCAGCCAUGCCGCGUGCAGGAUGAAGGCCUUCGGGUUGUAAACUGCUUUUGUACGGAACGAAAAGGUUUGGCCUAAUAAGCUGAGCUCAUGACGGUACCGUAAGAAUAAGCACCGGCUAACUACGUGCCAGCCGCCGCAGUAA